rnacentral:rRNA from 1 species
CCUACGCGUGUCAGCAGUAGGGCAUAUUGCUCAAUGGGGGAAACCCUGAAGCAGCAACGCCGCGUGGCGGAUGAAGGUUUUCGGAUUGUAAACUCCUUUUGUUAGAGAAGAUAAUGACGGUAUCUAACGAAUAAGCACCGGCUAACUCCGUGCCAGCAGCCGCCGUAAUACGGAGGGUGCAAGCGUUACUCGGAAUCACUGGGCGUAAAGAGCGCGUAGGCGGGAUAGCAAGUCAGAUGUGAAAUCCUAUGGCUUAACCAUAGAACUGCAUUUGAAACUGUUAGUUUAGAGGAUGGGAGAGGUAGGUGGAAUUCUUGGAGUAGGGGUGAAAUCCGUAGAGAUCAAGAGGAAUACUCAUUGCGAAGGCGACCUGCUAGAACAUAACUGACGCUGAUGCGCGAAAGCGUGGGGAGCAAACAGGAUUAGAUACCCGAGUAGUC